GACGAACGCUGGCGGCGUGCUUAACACAUGCAAGUCGAACGAAGUGGCGAACGGGUGAGUAAUACGUGGGUACCCUGCCCUCCUUUUUGGGAUAAGCCUUGGAAACGGGGUCUAAUACCGAAUAAAGGGGGAUGGGCUAGCGGCCUAUCAGCUUGUUGGUGGGGUGAUGGCCUACCAAGGCGGUGACGGGUAGCCGGUCUGAGAGGAUGAACGGCCACAUUGUGACUGAGACACGGCCCAGACUCCUACGGGAGGCAGCAGUGGGGAAUCUUCCGCAAUGGACGAAAGUCUGACGGAGCAACGCCGCGUGAGUGAUGACGGCCUUCGGGUUGUAAAGCUCUGUUAAUCGGGACGCAGUACCGGAAUAGAAAGCCACGGCUAACUACGUGCCAGCAGUCGCGGUAAUAC
rnacentral:rRNA from 1 species